rnacentral:rRNA from 1 species
GAUCAAGCUAGAAAGGGCGCAUGGGGGAUGUCUUGGUAUCAGAAGACUUAGAAGGGCGUGGAAGACUGCGAUAAGCCCGGGGUAGCUGCCAAACAAGCUUUAAUCCCGGGAUUCCCGAACAGAUGUGUGUUGAAUUCAUAGAUGCACAUUGAAAACACAGGGAACUGAAACAUCUAAGUACCUGUAGGAAAAGAAAGAAAAAUCGAUUCCGUAAGUAGUGGCGAGCGAAAGCGGAACAGCCCAAACCAAGAGGAUUUUCCUUUUGGGGUUGUAGGGCUUCCUAUUUAGGAGUUACAAAAUUGACGAAUAGUUGAAGACGGUUGGAAAGCCGCACCACAGAGGGUGACAGUCCCGUAAGCGAAAUUUGUUGAUCUCCUUGGAAGUACCUGAGUAGGUCGGGUCACGUGAAACCCAGACUGAAUCGGCGGAGACCAUUCCGCAAGGCUAAAUACUCUCUGAUGACCGAUAGUGGACUAAGUAGAGCGAUCGAAAGAUGAAAAGAACCCUGACUUAAGGGGAGUGUACAUAGAAUCUGAAACCAUGUGCCUACAAGCGGUCGGAGCACUAUAAUUUAAUAUUACGUGUGACGGCGUGCCUUUUGCAUAAUGAUCCGGCGAGUUGGCGUAGUCAGCUUGGUUAAGAGCUUCCGGCUUGAAGCCGUAGGGAAACCGAGUCUUAAUAGGGCGAAAUAGUUGACUGUGCCAGACGCGAACCCCAGUGAUCUACCCAUGAGCAGGUUGAAUCGCGGGUUAAACUGCGUGGAGGACCGAACCCACUUGGGUUGAAAACCGAGGGGAUGACUUGUGGGGAGGAGUGAAAGUCUAAUCAAACUGGGAGAUAGCUCGUUCUCUUCGAAAUAGCUUUAGGGCUAGCCUUGAGCCACUAUCA